rnacentral:rRNA from 1 species
UACGGGGGGAGCAAGCGUUGUUCGGAUUUACUGGGCGUAAAGGGCGCGUAGGCGGCCACUGCAAGUCGGUUGUGAAAUCUCCGGGCUUAACCCGGAAAGGUCAAUCGAUACUGCAGGGCUAGAGUGCAGAAGGGGCAACUGGAAUUCUCGGUGUAGCGGUGAAAUGCGUAGAUAUCGAGAGGAACACCGAUGGCGAAGGCAGGUCUCUGGGCAUUAACUGACGCUGAGGAGCGAAAGCAUGGGGAGCGAACAGG